rnacentral:ribozyme from 14 species
CUGAGCUGAGCCCUUAAAAAAAUAAAUUAAAAAACUAUUGAUUAUUUGUUGUCUUCUUCUCACUAUCAUUCGCCGCCGCCUUUGUGAUUCAAAAAAAAAAAAAAAAAAAAAA